rnacentral:rRNA from 1 species
UACAGAGAGUGCAAACGUUGUUCGGAAUUACUGGGCUUAAAGCGCGCGUAGGCGGCUUUGCAAGUCGGGUGUGAAAUCCCCAGGCUUAACCUGGGAACUGCAUUCGAGACUGCAUUGCUAGAGUAUGGGAGAGGGAAGUGGAAUUUCCGGUGUAGCGGUGAAAUGCGUAGAUAUCGGAAGGAACAUCAGUGGCGAAAGCGACUUCCUGGACCAAUACUGACGCUCAUGUGCGAAAGCGUGGGGAGCAAACAGG